rnacentral:lncRNA from 1 species
AUGGAGGCUGACACCGGGGACGGGAGCGUGUCCACGGCCGAGAUGCUGAGAGGAGUCGUGGCCGAGAAACUGACCGCCGCCGCGCGGGAGAUCUUAGCGGUGGUCGAGAGAACCGUGGCCGGGUACGAGGAGGAGACUGCGGGUCUGAGGCUGGAGGUCGACCGGCAGAGGAAGCACCUGGAGGCUCUGCUGUCCAUCUCCGCUGAGAUCAAACUGGAGGCAGCAGAUGACCAGUUUCCUGUCUGUGAGCCGGCGGCUGGAGGAGGAACCGAACUCCCCGAAGAGGAACAGCGGCACAAACAGGAGCCGAGUGUGGAAGACAGCUGGAGUCUGGGCCUCGUCUGCUCCACUGAGGAACGGAUGGAGGAGGAUGAAGAGGAUGAAGAGGAGCAUCCGGAACAUCUCACAGAACCAGAUGGUGAAGAAUCAUCAAGGUUUUUGACUCCCACAGUUCAGUCUGACAGGAGGAGUGCUGACGGACCUGCGAUCAGGGAAUCAGAGGACCACAUAGACCUCAGGAUCCGCAUCCUGCAGGACUAUCAGAUCGAUGUGCUCUCACCCCACGCGUAUACGAAGUUUCCGCUUCUGGAGCUGCAGUGUCCUCGUGGGAUGCAGGAGGCGGACUUCCUGGACCUGCUGAGGUCCACCUUCCCUCAACUGGCUGCUCAGGAAACUUUUGACCUCUUCUUAACUGACAAAAUGAAGAAACUACACCCACUCAGAGUGGAGACUCUGACACCAGAGGAGAUCUGUAAGACCACUGGACGUGCAACCCUCUUCAUCCGACUGAAGCUUCCUGAGGGAGUCCAGCCACAAGAGAUUGAACCUCUGCACAGAGAAGAUGCUGCUCCAGAUUCUCCGUCCACAGAUCAAACCGGACUGAACACGAGAGUUCAGUCUGACAAGAGGAAGCCCAGCAGACGUCAUAGGAGUGAACCUCCGAACCUAAUAGAUCUCAGAAUCUGCAUCCUGGAGGACUCUCGGAUCAAUAUGCUCUCAAACAAAGUGUAUAAGAAGUUCCCGCUUCUGGAGCUGCAGUGUACUCGUGGGAUGCAGGAGGCGGACUUCCUGGACCUGCUGAGGUCCACCUUCCCUCAACUGGCUGCUCAGGAAACGUUUGACUUCUUCACAUGUGGCACAAAGAAGAUACUGCAGCCGUUCAGAGUGGAGACUCUGACACCAGAGGAGAUCUGUAAGACCACUGGACGUUCAACCAUCUACAUCCGACUGAAGUCGCCUGAGGGAGUCCAGCCCCGAGAGAAAGAAGCUCUGCACAGAGAAGAUGCUGCUCCAGAUUCUCAGUCCACAGAUAAAACCGGACUGAACAUGAGGUAAAAACACAAAGAGC